UACAGAGGAUGCAAGCGUUAUCCGGAAUGAUUGGGCGUAAAGCGUCUGUAGGUGGCUUUUUAAGUCCGCCGUCAAAUCCCAGGGCUCAACUCUGGACAGGCGGUGGAAACUACCAAGCUGGAGUACGGUAGGGGCAGAGGGAAUUUCCGGUGGAGCGGUGAAAUGCGUAGAGAUCGGGAGGAACAUCCGUGGCGAAGGCGACUACCUGGACCAGCACUGACACUGAGGCACGAAAGCGUGGGGAGCAAACAGG
rnacentral:rRNA from 1 species